ensembl:misc_RNA Metazoa_SRP Metazoan signal recognition particle RNA
GCUGGGCACGGUGGCGCGUGCCUGUAAUCCCAGCUACUCAGGAGGCUGAGGCAGGAGAAUUGCUUGAACCCAGGAGGCGGAGAUUGCAGUGAGCCGAGAUCGCGUCAUUGCACUCCAGCCUGGGUAACGAGCAAAACCCCGCCUCAA